UCUCAUACUGUGAUGAUAUUAUAGUUCAAUUGAUCGCUGUGAUAUUUACUAUUGCAAUGUCUUUCGCUCCUAUCUGAUUAAUCAA